UACGUAGGGGGCAAGCGUUGUCCGGAUUUAUUGGGCGUAAAGAGCGUGUAGGCGGCCAGUUAGGUCAGCUGUGAAAACUCGAGGCUCAACCUCGAGAUGUCGGCUGAAACCAUCUGGCUAGAGUCCGGAAGAGGAGAAUGGAAUUCCCGGUGUAGCGGUGAAAUGCGCAGAUAUCGGGAAGAACACCAGUGGCGAAGGCGGCUCACUGGCCCGGUACUGACGCUGAGGUGCGAAAGCGUGGGGAGCAAACAGG
rnacentral:rRNA from 1 species